GUCUACGCUGGGAUUAGCUCAGUUGGUAGAGCAUGAGACUGUUGAUCUCAGGGUUGUGGGUUCAAGCCCCACAUUAGGCA